rnacentral:rRNA from 1 species
GAUGAACGCUAGCUACAGGCUUAACACAUGCAAGUCGAGGGGAAACGACAUCGAAAGCUUGCUUUUGAUGGGCGUCGACCGGCGCACGGGUGAGUAACGCGUAUCCAACCUGCCCACCACUUGGGGAUAACCUUGCGAAAGUAAGACUAAUACCCAAUGAUAUCUCUAGAAGACAUCUGAAGGAGAUUAAAGAUUUAUCGGUGAUGGAGGGGGAUGCGUCUGAUUAGCUUGUUGGCGGGGUAACGGCCCACCAAGGCGACGAUCAGUAGGGGGCCUGAGCGGAAGGUACCCAACAUUGGGACUGAGACACGGUCCAAACUCCUACGGGAGGCAGCAGUGAGGAAUAUUGGUCAAUGGGCGAGAGCCUGAACCAGCCAAGUAGCGUGCAGGAUGACGGCCCUAUGGGUUGUAAACUGCUUUUAUAAGGGAAUAAAGUGAGUCUCGUGAGACUUUUUGCAUGUACCUUAUGAAUAAGGACCGGCUAAUUCCGUGCCAGCCGCCGCCGUAA